UCUGCCUUGUGGUCUUAAGCUAAGUGCCCAGGGAUAUAAUUAUAUAUGCUAGAGCCAGAAUUCAAACACAGUCUUACUCCAAGUCUGAGCUCAACUCACCGCCCUCACCUAUAAUCAGGAUACCUUGUGCCUAUCUUGGCACUUACUGCUCUUGUAAUGUUAUGUUUAUUUGUGGGAUUAUAUAAUACAUUUUUUUCCUACUGUAUUGGUAACCUUUAGGAGGGCUGAGAUCCUGUCUUUUGGUUCAUCAUUUUUGCUUAGCUUCUAAGUGCCUAACAUCAAGCAGGCUCAUUGCAUAUAUUUUUUCAUGUGUAAAGUGGAGUUAAUAAUACAGUAUUUUUAUACUAUUGCACUACACUGUAGUACAGUUGCACUGUUAUAAGAACUGUGAGAGGGUGCACACUAGUUCACGUCCAUUGGUAAGUAGUCAUUAAUGGAGUGGCUUUAAUUAUAAUAAACAGGCUUAGAGGUCACUUAGCUUAAGACCACAAGGCAGAGUCUCAUCUGGUAUUUAAGGCUCUUAACUUCUAUUCCUUUCUUCUUUUUGUUACCUAUACUGAAUAUAGUUAGAAAAGCAAAUCUGGGAAAAUUUACUGCUUUCCAGAGCUGAUUUCUUAACUAGACAGACAGCUAAAGUAUAAGCUUCAUCCUUGCUAAGUGUUGGUUUCAUCCUUGAGACCAAGACAGAUCCAGAGUCUUUACAAUACUGUGGUAGUUAACGUAACUCUCUGAACUAGUCUCUUGGGCACGGACCAUUAGGAAAGGCUAAGGUAAAUAUUUUCAAAAUAACAUGUAGUUUGAAGGUGUCGUUGUUAAUGUCCUUAUUCAAUUACAGCAGGAGGUGAGUUGGUCUUUAAGAUGAAUUUGUUUCUACAUGUAUUCCAUGUCGUCUUGUAUAUAUUUUGUGUGGUGCAGAUAGGAUUUAUUAUUUCAAAUCAUAUCCUUGAACUUAGUUCAGCAGUGUUAUCUCUAGGGUAUAGAGAUGCAUUUGGCAAGUGAUUAGCAAUGUAUUCUGGUAUGCAAGAACCUAGCUGUAGAAUAAAAAUCGAGUUAUAAAAUUAAUCUAUAAAAUAGUCACAGUUAAAAUGGUGAAGAGACCAGAAUUAAUCUUAAGAAAGCACAAGACAAAAUGCAGAUAUCCUAAAAUCAAAAAUAGUAGUGUUCAUUAAAGUGACAAUCAAUUAUUUAAUUCCAAGGACAGACACAUUAUAGUCUAAAAAUAUAUUUCAGAUUCACAAUUGACUAGCUAUUUUAUGUGGCAGAAUACCAGCUUUGCAUAUUUAUUAAAAUUAUUCAUAACUGCGUAGCUGCCCAGAUGAACUGUUGAGUUCUUGUUCCUUGAUUCAAUAUAUUAUCUUGUCCAUUUUAUCAUGGCAUGGUAAUAGAAAUUUGUCUAAAUUUUAGAAUGAUCCAUGGAAUAUUUUCAGUAUCAGCAUCUCCCAAAUACAUAUUUUAUCAUUUCUGUUUUGCCUAAUGUGUUCUUUUACAUAGCUUUAGGAAAAAUCAUCUAUCUCCAUAGGAAAAUUACAAGGUUUUUUUUCUUUAGGGGAUAUAUUUCAGACAGAAUUCUUUAUUUAAUAUGAAAAGGUACUGUAUCAUCAAUCUUUAGGUAUCAAAAUAUUCCUGUUACCUAAAAAUUUGGACAAGAUGUGAAUUCUUCAGGAUAGUAGAGAAACAGUAGAAGUUCAUAAUCUUUAUGUAGAUUUUAGGGAGAACUGUGUUUGCUUUAGAUAUUAUUUGUUGAGUAGGGUGUUGCUGUGGUCAGUCAGUGUGACAGUGUAGUUGGGAUGGUGAGUUCUGGAGUCAGACUACCUUCAUUUCAUAUCCUAAGUCCACCACUUACGAUUUAUUUUUUAAAAUUUGGAGCAGUGAUUAUCUCUCUUCUGGAAGGUUGAAUAAUAGUGUCUGCCUAAUAGGGUUGUUAAAGAAGAUUCUAUGAGAUAAUGCAUGUAGAGUACUGAGAACUGUGUUGGACACAUAGUAAACACUCAAUAAAUGUCAAUGAAUAAAUAGUGUUAAUCAUAAUACCAUAUCAUGGAAUGCCACGAAGUGGGGGCUAUGGUUUUAGCAAGAAUAUGCAUAAAGAGAUACUAAUCUCCAAUAACACGUCUCUAAAUUGGUAAAAACUUAGAGGAUGAUGUUAGGAAAGAAGAAUAAAACCUUUUUAGAUUAGAAUAUUAAUUAUACUGGAGUUCAGAGAAGCCUCAGACAAUCGAAUUUAGUCCCCUCUCUGUAUGGGUGGAAAGCACAGCUGUAAAAGGUUAAGUGACCUCCCCAGGAUUACCCAGCUAGGAUAGCAGACUCCAGCCACGUCUUCUGGCUCAAAGUUGAGUGCUCCAUCUGUUUUAAAACACUGUCUUAUCCAUAGGAACAUUCAUUGAACCUGUCCUAGAUGUCAUUGUUUAUAUAUGUGGCUUCUUAUCCAGUAUAUAACACCUCCUUGCUCCUCUUGGUUUGGCAUCCUAGUUGUUGUUAAUCCUCUAGAAAUAGCUUUCUAUACACCCAAGAGUCAUGGAGAAAACAAUUGACCGUCCCCGAGCUAGCACUGCGUUCAGCGAGCAUGAGCAGCUCUAUCUGAAUGCCUCCACGGGACAAUCGCUAUAGCCCUGGGAAAAGGGAAUGUCUGUGAAGUUGUGGAGAAUUUCCCUGGAGAUCUCAUAAACUUCUAACAUGAAUAUGAAUCCUUUCUUCCUUAUAAAUCAGAGUCAUGUGUUAAAGGAGAUGUAUUAGAUGCUUCUGAGCUGUUACAUUUUAGUGGGUUCUAUAAAAUUCUCAAUAAAGGAAAGGUCAGUGUUUGUACCAUAAACAGUGUUCAUGAAGGCACGUUUACUCCCCCGCCCCCGUCCCUUUUGGGACUCCUGGAGUGUAUAUAGUACUCAAACUUGCUCUUCUUCGAAACUGCGCCACUGCCCACCACCUCCCAGAACCACCCCACUGCCCACCUGGGCGUCCUUUUUCUUAGAGGUCCUACCCGCCCUGGCCCUGGGACCAGCCCUUCCUGACAGGCGAAAAUGAAAAGAGGUGAUUUCACCUCGUUAACAGCAUGGGUUUAGGGGCUCCACCGCCUUCAGGCUCAGCUGCACUUUCGUAUGUGUACUUCAAGUUAAAAGGUUGUCGGCACACCAGUUUGUGGGGUCCUUCUUCUGUAUUUUCAUGGAGACCACGCGUGAGACUAAGAAAGACCAGUGGGUGACCUUUGCAUGCCGACGACACAGGUCGUCGUUCUGCUCGGCGAGAGGCGAUUCCUGUGACUUUUCUGGUUGUCAGCGGAGCUCCCGGCCCACCAGCCUCCGGUGCCACACGGUGGGAGAGCUAAUGGUCCCGCGCUGGUUCUGGCAGAGUGGUGUGGAGGCUUAAUUGAAGAAUAUUUUUAACCCAUUAUCAAGAGCAUUAGGAGGAAAAUGUUCAAAAAGUCUUGAUGCGGCUUGCCGCUCUUUCCAUUUAAGAAAGUAGAUCCCGACAUAAGCAAAUUAUAACCUGAAAUAGUAAUCCAUCUUUAUUUUCAAUCCCUUCAUCUUCCCAAGAUAAAGACUCUCCUCUCUGAGGGCAUGAAAAGGGGCAGAAUCAGCUAGACUGUUACAGAUGAUUCUCUCCUCCUGUUGUACGUGAACACAUAGUGCCCCUUGUUUAGAGCAGGGUGGCUUUGAAUGGACUGUCCUGACUAAAUUGUUCAGAAGGAUAGUGAACAUGUCUGCUAGCCUAGUCCUGGCACAGAGCGCGGUGGCUGGCAGGUACUUACAGGUGUCCAGGCCGCGUGAAGUGCAGGCCACAGUCCAAGGAACCUGAGUGGGCUUUUCCUUAUAUCAUGAUUUCUGGCUCCUUUUUUUUUUUUUAUACUGAGUCAGUAUGCUUUCAUCCUUUCAAACUUAGAGGGGUUUUUGAGGGAUUGCAAAGAGAUGCGCCCCAAAUUAUCACCACAGCCAGCAUCUUAGUUGUGGAUUAUCAUCAAAUUUAAUCUUAUCUUUAUCUCCACGGAAUAGUCUUUGGUUUGAUUUCUUUGAUUAUUUUGUCUUUUAAUUUCAAAAUGGCAAGAAAAAGUGCUUCCAGUUUUUUCUUUAAUUAAAAUAAGUAGAAAUUAGCAUAUGAACUAUCAGAGAAAGACUAAUUGAAGUCUUGAAGCUUCUUUGCUUUAAAAUACACAGAAUUUCAACAGGAUUUUCAUUUAUUGAUUCUCCUUCUCUGUAUUCUCGGAUUUUUUUUUUAAUUUUGUCAGAUAACCAAAAAUAUACUUCUAAAGCUGUGACCAAAAAAUUGCCAAAGUUAAAGUGCCCAAGAGUCUUUUGAGACUUAAGACAGGUUACAGGCGCCUGGUUGGCUCAGUCAGUUAAGCGUCUGCCUUCGGCUCAGGUCAUGAUCCCGGGGUCCUGGGAUCAAGCCCCACAUCAGGCUCCCUGCUCAGUGGGGACUUUGCUUCUCCCUCUCCUUCUGCUGCUCCCCCUGCUUGUGCUUUCUCUCGUUCUCUCUCCUGCUCUCUGUCAAAUAAAUAAAUAAAAUCUUUAAAAAAGAGAGAGUUAAGACAGGUUAGAAUGUAUACAUGAAGGAUGGUUUAAAAAGUGGCAGUGUAAUUUUAUUAGGAAAGUGAACAUGGAGAAGUCUUUGUGGAAUCAGUAAGAAGCUAAGCUAUAUUAUAUUAUUCAACAAAAAUUUAAGGUAACUUCUCUUUCAAGUAUGUGGUAGUUGUUCAUGAUGUCUCUUAAAUAUUGGAACACAAGGAUUUCUAGUCUUUUGUUCCAUCAGAAAUUCAUUCAAAAAAUUCACCAAUAUUUCUCAAAGAAACGUGCUACCUAUGGGUACAUGUGGUAAAAUGGCCAGUGAAAAUGCUUUGCCUUAAUCUUGUUAACAUACAAAUGUCAGUCUGAUAAAUGCAGUAUCAGAUUAUACCAGUAUCAGAUCGUAUCAGCUGUAUGAGUGCUGCAGAAUGCUUUUGGUCUAAAUUUGUAGUUUACAGAAAAGCUGUUAUUUCAGAAUCUCUCUUGCCUCCUUGUAUGGUCAGUUCAUUUUAAGCAUCUGUCAAAGACACUUGCAAAAUGGAAAAGUUGCCCAUUUUUUGGCUGUGUGGACAAAAAAGAAAACAUGGAAAUGAUUGUGUAUGGGAAUCAGAUAUUCUGAAAGCCCUUUCACCAUGAAAGACUAGAUGCAGAAUAAAUCAGAGAAACUGACUUUUUAGAUGUUUUGUUGAACUUGGAAGAGAGUAAGGGAAAUCUCCAAAGGGGCAAAAAGUCUGUAUAGUAAUUGGAACCCGAAGGGGUGUGGUAAAAAGGCCAGGACUGCCCUACUCGCCAUACCUGUGUAAGGAAUUCACAGCUUAACUCCCUUGGGCAAAAAGAGAUCAAGAGGUCUGGGUAAUGUUGGAAGCCCAAAACUGAAACACUCUCAUAGAGUGAGAACAUUCACAAGGAGGUAUACCCUCAGAGAAAGUGAGAGCUGAAAAAAAAUUGAGCUCACCAGGAAAGGGAGUAGAUGAGGAAAAUGGUUUUUCCUGUUGCUCUAAGUGGAAGAAAAAUAGUUAUCAUUGUAUUCAUCAUCUCCUCUGACAGUCUGCUACUACAGGCUUAUUUUUGGAUGAGUCUGGGGUACAAAUUUACAAUUCUUACAGGGUCAUGGAAACCCUAACCUAAAAAAAUUUAAAUAACAAAUGUCCAGGCUGGCAGAACCCUCUGGUACCUGUUAGAUAUAAGCAUUAAGUCCUCUCUGGAGGAAAGCAUUAACAGUCCAGUUCCCUCAAAAAUUCCUCCAGAUUUAGUGUAUACAGGGUUACCAUAAAAAAUACCGAAUACUCAACACAGCAACCCAGGAAUUACCAAAUGGGGAAUAACACAAGCCAUAGGUCACCAAAGUCAACAAAAACAGUAAAUAGACUAGGUCCCUGAUGACCUAAGGACACUGGAAUGCUGAUUUUGAAUAUGAAACACAUGCACGGAAGUACAUAAAGAAAAAAAAUCAAGGCAGGAAUAAGAGACCAUCCAAAAUGUUUGGGAAGAUUUGAAAAGGAAGUGAAUAGAAUUACAAGGAAAAAAAUAGAAUCAUGAGACAUAAAAACUCAGUAGGUUGGUUAAGUAGAGGGUCACACACAGCUGAGGAGAGAAUGAAUGGAUUGGAAGAUCACGAGAGAUAUCACCCCACGUGAAGCCCAGAGAGACAAAGGAGGUGAGAAAUAGUCCAGAGUAAGAUGUAGGGAUGAGAGAAGGAAAGGAUGGAACACAGGUCAAUUUGGAAUUCCAAAUGUUAAAAUAUUGAAAAUGGGGGGAAUGGUCAAGAAUUGAAGGGUCUUGAAACUUCAUCAUAAUAACAAUUUAAUGAAUAAAUAAUGAAAAUUUUGUUUCUAUUAUAAUAAGCUUGCUACAGUUUCGCAGAUGCUCUUUGAAGAUGCAAGACUUCAGGGCCAGAUACAAAGGACUUUAUUACAGUGCAUUAAGCCUCGUGAGCUAUAUGUUCAAGCCUAUUCCCUGUGCUCCCCAAGUCACAUGGGGGUGAUGCAGAGUGGGUUGUGUAGGAAGUCUGAGGCACAUCCAGAGACCCCAGUCUUUUAAAAUGGACUGUAAGCAAAUCUGCUCUUUGGCCAGCAAAGAGAGACAUUAUUUUAUCUCCAGGAAAAUAAACAGAUCUGCUCUCUGUGCCAGAGGGGGAGACUCUAUCUUCUAAGGUUGUUUGCUCUGCAGACAUCCUUGUAAAGUUAUUUAGGGUGUAAAGAUAGAAUUUCCCAGAAAUGUUGAAAGAUUAGCAUGUUAAUAUAGAGUGAAUACACUGUAUACCAGGCAACACAAAUACAUAUUUAGACAUAUCAUGGUGGGAGGGCAGGACAUCAAAGACAAAAGAGGAGUCGUUAAAAGCAACCGGAGAGAAAAGAUAGUUCAAAUUGACAGGCUAGUUCUGGUUGCUUGUUUGGAAAAGCAAAGGGUCAAGAAUAACCAAGACCUUCCUAAGGAAGAACCAGAAGAGGAGAGAUGAGAGGUCUUGCCUUAUGGAGAUCAAGGUCUGUUACAAACCUUGAGUAAUGAAGUAUGAAGUAUGAGUAAUGAAGAGUAAUGAAGACUGAGGAAUUAGGGUAUUAGUGUAGACAAAGAAACCACUGGAACUGUAUAGAAAGCCCAUACAUGAUAUAUGCAUGCGUGCAAACUUGGUUUAUGGCAGCACGUGUGUUGCAGAUCAGUGGAAAGAGGAGGAACUGUCCCCUUAGCAAUGCAGUUGCAGGAUUAUACACGUGGAGGAAGAAAAAUGAAACCAGAUUGUGACAUGUAAAGAAAAUCAGUUCCAGGUAGAUUAAAUAUUUGAAUCUUUAAAUCAUGAAACCAACUUUUAAAAGGAAAGCAAAACUAUGGAAAUUUCAAUGAACCAAAAAAAAAAAGAGAGAAAUGAGUGAGCAAGAGAGAGCCUCUCUGGGAGCUGAAGGAAGAAACUGACAACAAAGGUGAUGUUGCUGAAUGCUCUCUAGCUGUAUGUGUGGAUGCAUGUGUAUCAGACUGUAUCACACACAUCGUGAUGGAAACUGUUGAUGAAGAUGAGGCUGCAAAUUUAAGACCUCAGGCAAAACCGGGAAAUGGAGGUGGGAGCGAAACCAACACAUGGCUCAGAGCAGUAGCCUCACGCCGCUGCCGCCGCCACCGAGGGUUUCUCUGGCCAGUGUUGCUCCCACCCGCCUACAGCAUGGGAAAUAUCUUCUCAGACCUCUUCAAGGGCCUUUUUGGCAAAAAAAAAAAAAAUGCGCCUUCUCAUGGUGGGCCUGGGUGCUGCGGGGAAGACCACCAUCCUGUACAAACUGAAGCUGGGUGAGAUCGUUACCGCCAUUCCCACCAUAGGCUUCACCAUGGAGACGGUGGAGGACAAGAAUAUCAGCUUCACCGUGUGGGUCGUGGGUGGCCAGGACAAGAUCCGACCUCUGUGGGGUCACUACUUCCAGAACACACAAGGUCUCAUCUUUGUGGUGGACAGCAACGACAGAGAGCGUGUGAACGAGGCCCAUGAAGAGCUCAUGUGGAUGCUGGCGGAAGAUGAGCUUAGGGUCCUGCUGGUGUUCGCCAACGAGCAGGACCUCCCCAGCGGCAUGAACGCGGCUGAGAUCACGGACAAGCUGGGGCGUGGUCCCUGCGCCACAGGAACUGGUACAUUCAGGCCACCUGUGCCACCAGCGGGAUGGGCUGUAUGAGGGACUGGACUGGCUGUCCAGUCAGCUCCGGAGCCAGAAGUGAGCCACGCCCCCGCCCCUCCUUCCACCCUGCUUUACUCUCAUGUGGUGUGAGUGCCAGAAGCUGUCUCCAUGGUCGGUCACAGUGUGCUUCACCAUGCUGUAAAUGUGCAGACACAGCCUGCAGCCGGGUUUUUAUUUAAUGUAAAUAGUUUUUGUUCCCAAUGAGGAAGUUUCUGGUACUCCUAUGCAAUAUUACUCAGCUUUUUUUAUUGUGAAAAGAGAAUCAACCCACUGUUCAGUACUGAGAAGGGAUGUUAGGCACACGGGGCCUCCAGGAGUCGCUGUGUCCAACCAGCUUGGCACGCCUCCUCUGGGCGUUAGAUCUGUGCUGAGAUCCAUUUUGGUGGUUGGUUUUUAACCUGAACUCAGUGCAUUUUUAAAAUCGUUACAAAUACAAGAUAAGGAGAACACUUGAACACACAGAAGGGAGAAACAUGCCUAGUGUCGGUUCUGCAGUGGCGGCCAGAGUCUAGCCCACCAGUGAUCUGUUGCCCGUCGGGAACAUGAGACACGGCAGAACCAGCCAUGGUCCAUUCUGCAUGGUCACGAUAGGGUCCCUGUGAUUGGCUCUGUCUCGGGUCAUCCUGCAUCCCCUAGCGUUUGUGCUUGUACUUGUGCUCACACAGCCGCCCAGGAGACAGGCUGGGGGCUGCGGUCACUGCUCACGGACUCCUUGGAGGGACCCCGGCCUUCCCUUGGGUCGGCGUGGGCACUCUGGCUUGUUCCAGGCUGCCUGGGGUCUCACCAGCAGGAGUGCAGGUGGGCGGGCCAUCACCCUAGAGCCUCAGCCCCGGGAACUCCUGUCUACAUGUGCUUUCACUCCCUCAGCCUGCAAGGGUCGGAUUUGCCACUGAAACAACGACCUCUACUGUUUUCUUUUGUAUUUUGAUAAACACUGAAGAAGCUGGAGCUGUUAAACUUUAUCUUGGGGAAAUCCUCAGAACUGGUUUAUUUGGUGUCGUGGAACUGCUUACUGCUUUCAACACACGAUUAAUAAUCAACUGUUUUGUAUACUCGUUUUCAGUUUUCAUUUUGACAAACGAGCACUGUACUUAUAGCUACUAGAAUAAAAUCUCUUAACUAUUAAAAAAAAAAAAAAAACGGGAAGUGGAAAAUUUGUGGACGUAAUUUCUUUAGCUGAGGGUGACCGCGGAGGUGACUUGGUACUCUGGGGGCUGACCAAGGCCUUCCAACGGACACAGGGUCUGUCCCUGCACUCUGGCAUUGAAACAUGCAAAUGCAAAGCCAUCCAAAGGAUCCUUUCUGAAACUUUAAGACCUAAGGACAGUGGUCAUAGGUUUUUAUAAAUGAGACCACCAGGCCUCCUGCACGAAGACUUUGUAUUCAGCUUUGUUUAAUGUAGAUUUGAAAUUAGCUUUUUCAUAAAAUAAAAGAAACCCAGAAUGCAAAAAAAAAGGGGGGGGGAAGCAUUUCUUAACACCAAGCGCAAAAAAACACAAACUGUGCAAAGGAAAAAAAUUGAUAAAUUCAACUGUAUCAAAAUAAAUGUUCACUUUAUCAAAAGGAUAUGCUUAACAAAUUGAAAAGACAAGCCACAGUGGGGAGAAGUAAUCUGCAGCACAUAUCGCUGAGGAUGGAUUAGUAUCUAAAACAGAUAAAGAAAUUAUAUGAAUAAAAUAACACUAGGUCAGAGGUAUGAAUAAACAUUUCAAUGAAAAGGAAACAUUAACGGUGAAGAAACAGGAAACACAAUCAGCCUCAUUAGUGAUCAGAGAACUACAAAUUAAAACCACAGUGAUACCAUUUUAUAUUUACCAUUUUGACAAGAUUAAAAUUUAGAACAGUACUGUUUGUGGGGAAGGAUGAGAAUAGCAGGGAUUCUCACAUACUUAUCAUCUCAUUCCCUUCAAAGACCCAGGCAGCCAAAUAAAGUCUGACAUUCCUUGUGUUGUAUUACAUGUGAGGAGAAAAGUAACUUAACCAAAAAGUUACUCUGCUUUCUUAAUAAACACCAAGUUAUCUUUGAUGCCAAAAUAUUCUCUGAGCAAAUCUUGAACAUGGGGACAGACUUGGUUUAUAUUUUCAAGGGGAAAGAAAGAUCUGCUGAGAAAGAUCUACAGCAUUACCAGAUGACACUGGUUUUGUUGUUGUUUUAAAUCUCAACCCCCAAGUUGAGUAGAUAAUUCAAAAGACAACGUUAAGGAAGAGUCUUCUCACAUAUAUUGUGGUUUUAUUUCUGUUGUAAUUGAAGUUGACGAACUGGCAUACAAAAUGAAAAAUCAAAAAAACCCAAGAUGCACAGUGAUUAGAGGAAAGGAAAAGGAGGCAUAAGCCACUAAAACUCCUUGUGUUUGAGAUGAAGAGAAAUGAUAGCACAAUACCCGAUUAUCCGCUAGAAGAAGAAUCCAGUGGACGAUCACGCUGUGCCUUGGCGUGGGCCAAGGAGGACUGCCGACUUUGAUGAUCAUGGGUUCAAGAGCUGUCUGUGGGGGUGACCCUGGGCAGCUGGAGGAAAUUGUGGGAGAGGAAGAAUGAGAAUUUUCCAAAUUCUCAGUUAUGCAUGCACACACAAAAAUCUGAUUGAGAAGAGUAAGCUCUAAAAUUGUUUACUGAAUUGUUCUUAUUGUUGAGUAUGAUUAAAGUGUGGCAAUAUUAAAAAAUGACCCAAAAAACCCCCAUAAAGCUAAAAAUCUAACCUAGCAUAACUACAUAGAGAAUGUUGCCUGGUUCUUUCAAUUACUAGCUUUUGAAUAACUUUCAGUAUCCAGUGAGGUCUAUGUGUAUAUACUCCUGUUAUCCAGCAGCCUGUUUAUUAAAAAGUUCUUAAUGCAUGAAUUAAACUAGAUAAUCAAGUUAGUUACCAGGUUAGCCAGAUGAGCUCUGGGAAGUACUGAAAGUUACCAUUUUGGGGAGAAAUUUCUCAGCUCAGAUUAGAACACUUGUCAAACUUAGUGGCAGGAGACUAGGUCUGAAUCAAUAUUUCUGCCUGGAAGUCACAUAACCUCUAUGAGAGAUUAAUGUGGUUAGUAUUGGACUCUGUAUUCUCUAUCAGCUAAGUAUGUGCACUUGUCAUUCAUAUUUUGUUUUCAGCUUGUAACACUGACAGAAAAAUCUCUGUGGAAUAAAGAACCAGUUUCCUGAGUGUAUGAAGCUAUAUUGUAUUUGCAUAUUUCCGGGAUUUAAAGGGAAGGGUGUUUUUACUUGAAACACUAUUUAUCUGUUUGUUCUAAUUUUUUGGAACUGAAAAACAUUGAUAGCUAUGAACAUGUCUGGCUCACAUUUUAUUUCUGCUGAUUCUAAUUUUGUUGAUUAAAUAGUACAAGAAAUGAGAAUUUUUUUUUUUUAUUAAAUGACCGAUCUCCAAGAAUUUUUUCGUAAAAGCCCUGAGUAAAAUUUGUCACUUUUGCCAAAGCCACUUUUCUUUUUGCAUUACAUAAUGUGUUUAUGGAAGUACACUGUAAGCUAAUUCUGUAAGGUCAGGUAAGCGCUUGCAGCUUUACCCCUGUUAAUUCAAGAAUAGGGUUGGGCAUAUGCUAUGUAUGCUUGGUUGGUCGAGGGUGCAUGAUGGAAAGGAAUUCUGCAGGUACCACGAAAUCACUUGUUGAAACACAUCGAUUUCAUGACAACCCCACCCGACAGCUACUGGUCAGAGCCUUGAAAGAAAUGGGGUUCUUUUAGCUCACCUUGUUUGCUUUAUUUUGUACAUGAUUAUAAUCCUCUUAACAAAUAACCAAUGAAACAAAAACUUAACCUCAUUUAUAAUAGCGGUGAUUGGAAAUACCAGAGUGCCCCACAGCCUAUGAUUGGGGAAGUCAUGAUGCAGCAGUCUGACUGAGUGCUAGACAGCCAUUUAAUGCUGUGUAAGACCAAUGGCUUUGGGGAAUUUUCGUAAUAUAUUACAAAUUUAAAAAGCAGACUCUAUACCUGUACUUAAUGCAAAUGUGUAUUUAAAAAAGUUUUGAAGGAUACACUUUAAGUAUCAAUAGUGUUGUCAAGUGGGAAGAUUGCUCUUUACGCUUUCUGUUCCUUCCUGAUUUUUCUCUGUGUGCAACUUAAUUCAUUAUUUUAAAUAACAACAUGUAAAUGUUCUAAUAAAAUUUCGUAAAUAAAAGUAUUAAGGAAAAAAGGAAACAUACUUCCUGUAUUUUUGUUAUUAUAGCACUAUUCAAAGUAUUAUAGAGUUGUUAAAUAUGCAUUAUAUAUACAUAUAUACAAAAUUAUAUAUAUGAUUAUAGGAUUAUUGAGCAUGUAUGCCACAUACUCUGCUAAGCCCUUCAUGUAAGUUUUUUUAUUGAUUCCUCAGGAUAAUUUAUGAAGUUGAAGGAAAAUAUAAUCAUCCCCACUUUAUAGAUCAGCAAACUGAAGCUUUAACCGAUUAAGUUUUUUUGCCCUCAGUAAUGCAGCUACUGAGUGACAGAGCCCAGCUUUGAACCAGAAUCUGAGACCCAAGCCCAUGUUCUUAAGCUUUUGCCUCUACCAUCCCAUGACUGGUCUUCCAUGUCUCACUGUGGAAGAAGAUACAAACUUCAUUUGAGCGAAAAUUUUAAGGACUGUCCCAAUUGAAUUGGGUGGUUCACCCCUAUAUUAUAUUCUCAAAUAUCCAUUGACUAAUGAUUAGAUUGUAUUUUGCACAUUUUAUGGAAUGAUGCAAAAUGUAUGUUUCUUUUUAGGAAGGAAAAGGUAUAUGUGGGUUGUAUCAGUGAUUGUGAUUUUGAGAUAUAUACUGACAGAUUUCCUUCCUUUUGGGGUGUAUGUGUGUUUGAAGUUUGGAAUAAGCACAGUGAACCGCACAGGGCAAACCAUUUGUGCUACAAGGUCAUGAUGUGACCCUCUGAGGCUGUGCAGCUGACGUUACCAGAGGGCAUAUGGAAGGAAGGGCACUGCUAACACAGAAUCUCAUGUGUUUAGGAACCCAAGAUGGGGUGUAUAUGAGAACACUGUUUCCAGGACCAGCCAAGGCACCCAUCAGCUCUGGUGUCACAUUUGAGCCUCGGUGAACUUUUGUGACAUCCCUUCAAGAGUACCGUUCUUUCCCACUCUCUAUAAGAUUUCCAAAAGCACAUCUCAGUAACUAAUCCACAGAAAAUGCAGUCUUGUCUGGCAUUAUCUUCUGCCUGCUUUUCUGAAAUCAAGUACAACUAACUUCAAUCAAAUCAUAAUAAAAAAUUGUGCUAAGAGAAUAAAAUUACACUCAACAUAGCUAGUCAGAGAGCUCUUUAGGCUGUUAAGCGUUUAGCGGAUACAUAUUUGCAUACCCAAGUAUAAUGUUGCAGAUUUUUAAGCCAUUGAAUGAAUGAAUAUUUAAGAAAAAGAACUCGCGAUUGUUUUAGUUCAUGCGCAUAGUUUCCAGCACAUUUAUACUCACCCAUCCUGUGUGGAGGCGAGGCGGAAAGCCUCAUCACUACUAUAUGAAGCUAACAGUGGUUCUUAUUUUUAUGUUUUACACACCACACACACAAUAUGCACACAGAGUAUUGUUUUGUGGGGUGAGUUAUGUGUAGGAGUCUGCGAGAUCUAUUUGCAUCCUGGCUCUGUCCUAGUUGUGUAUCCUUAGGCGCAUCAGUGAACUAUCCUGUAUAUCUCAUCGACUUUAAAAUGGAGAUGCCGUUCAUAGCCUAGUUUAUUAAACAAACACUUAUUUAUUAAAUAUAUUAAUAUGUCAGGGAGGCAUCAUUCCUUCUCUUUUUUUCACUUGCCCCUGUGAGCACUAUUUGAGUCUUUGGAAAGAUUUUUUUUUUCCAUUGGUGACUCAAAGUUUAAUGGUUUGUCUCUCUGCUCCACUCCUAUUUUGUGCCCUAGAUUUUUCUCAGUUCUCCCUUUUGUAUUUUCCUGCUUUUUAAGAAAGAGUUUUUUGAAAAUUAACAGAAGACCCUCCAUUUUGCAUCUAAUGCAAUAAAAUAAAUACAUGUUUGGAAGUCAUAAGUUUUUUCAGUUCAGAAAUUAUGUACAUAUAACAUGCAUCCCUUAAGCAUGUAGCUCCCUGAGUUUCGAGAAAUGACUAUAUCCAUGUAUCAAGCACCCCAGUCAAGAUAAAGAACAUUCCCGUCACCUUGGGAAGUUUGGCAAAAGCUUGUCUCCGGAUAUGGUUCAUUUCUCCAGAUUCUGACUUGAUUUUCUUGCUUUGGAGCAGGAACAUCAUCUCCUCAUAUUGUCUCUGCCUCGGAAUAGACUUUCUAAAUGAGCCCCUUUCGCUGAUGACGUGCUUUUUGAAUGGGAGACAGUUUACUUGCUUUUUCUGUAUGAUUUUUCCUGGUUCCCCGCCCCCCCCCCCAAUGUCUCUCUUGCCAUUACUAAAUUCCGCUGGUAAUAUGUUUUAUGGUUUAACACCACUAUGAUUCAGCCUCCAAAGAGGUCACAUAAGGGUUAUGAAGUGUUUCAUGUCAAACAUUUCGGUGUUGUCCCUGACAUUAUCUGACCCCUGCCAUUACUCAGAAUUUACAUAGUUCUUGUGCAUUCAAGUCUUUCUCCCCCUCAACAAUUAGUAAAAUGUACUGAAAGUCAGGAGAUUGUCAAUUGUAGGAAAUUCAACUCUGACAAACCAGCUAUUCCUAUGCAGUGGAAAUAUUUUGCUUAUUUGCCUUAUUUUUUUUCCUUCUGCACAUACUUGAUGAUUCUUUAAUUAGUACAGAACUCUCCAUCUUGUGUUUUAAGUUAAUUAUCUGUGAUUUUUUAAAAGCCUUCAUUAGAUACACAAAGGAUAACCAUAAGUAAAGUUUUUAAAGUAUUGAAAGUCGCCAGCCAUAAUUCUAUUUUUAUUUUUUGAAUCAGUGACUAAACCAAUACUUUUGGAAUAAUAUGUCAAAUGAGCAUUGCUUAUUGGAACUAUUUUAAAAAGAUCUAAAGCAUGUUUGUUCUACCUUCCCUGUGUAUUUACACCUCCUCGAUUUUGCUUUAUGAGUAGCAAAAGCAAACUGUCACUAUUUGCUGUAAAUUGAAGCUUUUAAUAAUUAUGUCUGUUCCUACCACAUUUGUCAGCUUUGAAUAUUCUGUCAGUAGAAAAUAAAAAUAGCAGGGAAACUCAGCAGCCGUGACAUGGAGAAUUUAUCUGCUUAUGCUAAAGGAAGGUAAAAAAAAAAAAAAAAAAAAAAUAUAUAUAUAUAUAUAUAUAUAUAUAUAUAUAUGUAAUCUUGAAGGGUGGGCAUUUGGCAUUUUUCCUUCAAAUGAUGUAAAUUUGAACUGGCUCUUCCUUGAAUAAAUUUUAGAUGAAAAGUUGGCAAAACUAAAUGAAUAAGUUUCAUCACUAAACACAGAGCACCUUUUUAACCUAGAGAGAAUAGAGCACCUUUUUAACCUAGAAAGUGAAGAAUAAAGAGGCUAUUUCAGAUCACUUAUUCAGUCAUAUAUGCCUUGUUUGACAUAAGCUUGAAAAAUAAAUUUGGAAGUAGAUCGAAAGAAACAGGAUAGCGCAGUAGUAAAAACUUGGACGCAUAUAGCAUUUAAAUUUUUAAACUAUUUCAUAGUAAAAAUUCAUGUGCGGAGGAUCAUCUUGGAUAUGUGACAAUAAAAAAUUAAUUUAUCUAAUAAAGAUGAUUCAAGUAAAUCAAAUCUAAAUAAAUUCCAUAGUUCACAUUUUUUGUUUGUAAAUCAGGUGUGUCCGUUAUAAAUAUUAAAAACAUGAAUGAAUAUAUAUUAUGAAAAAUUCACUGCUUUCUUUCUUUUAGAUAAAAACAUAGUCUUUCAGGACUUUCUCUUGUUGCUGAUUUUCAGUUAAAUUUAAAUUCAGUUCUUGCUGUUGUGCCUCUUUCUUUUCUGUACCUGUCUGUUUGUAAGUCUCUUCCUGAAAGAGACCUUUAUCAUUAUUGUCAUCAACAAAAGUGAACAUUUAUAAAGCACCUAUUGGGUGCCAUGUUUGAUAAGCAUGGACGGUAGGUCAGUAUUUUGAGUAGGAAGAAAAACAUUGUUUUUUUUUUUUUUUUUAAAGAUUUUAUUUAUUUAUUUGUGUGAGAGAGAGCACAUGAGAGGGGGGAGGGGCAGAGGGAGAAGCAGACUCCCUGCUGAGGAGGGAGCCCGAUGUGGGACUCGAUCCAGGGACUCCAGGAUCACGACCCGAGCCGAAGGCAGUCGCCUAACCAACUGAGCCACCCAGGCGCCCGAAGAAAAACAUUGUUAAAACCGUGCUUCACUGUGCUACUGUACAGUCUUUAUUUAAACCUCUGUUGGAACAGAAAGGUGAUUAAUGAGACACUGUGAGCCUGCUUAUUAUCCCGUCAACCUUGUGAUGUGCCUGCAAAUACGGAGCAUCUUUAAAAUAACCAUAAUGAGCAAAGGAGAUGGUCUCUGCUUUUACAGAGUGGACAUGCCUGCAUGUUUUAAUUUAGUUUGGUAUUAGUGUUAUUUCAUUAUUACAGAUUGAGCCUGAGGGAAAGAGCAAGUUAAUUUUGUCACAUGUAAUGAGAUAAUUGCGUACAUGUAAUUUGACAAAGCAUUCUACAGGUGUGUUAUGCAGUGAUGAGAAAUGCCUACUCCUGAUUCAUCCUUUGUAGGGAGUGGAGUUGGAAAAGAGUUUCAGAGAGCAGAAUGUGUUUUGUUUUUUAAACAGAAGUCCUAAAAUAGUGUUAAAUACUAUAAAAAUUUUUGAUGGUGGGAUGCCUGGGUGGCUCAGUCAUUAAGCAUCUGCCUUCAGCUCAGGUCAUGAUCCCAGGGUCCUGGAAUCGAGCCCCGCAUCGGGCUCCCUGCUCGGCGGGAAGCCUGCUUCUCCCUCUCCCUCUCCCCCUGCUUGUGUUCCCUCUCUCGCUGUGUCUCUCUCUGUCAAAUAAAUAAAAUCUUAAAAAAAAAAAAAAAGUUUUGAUGGUGUCAGGUUGGGAAUUUAUUUUAUCACUGUGUGUGAGUAGGUUUAUUUGCUUGUUUCCAAUAAAUGUCCUUAUGUCUUAAAAAAAAUUUCAUUUCAAUCAAGAUUAAGGAGUGAUUUCCAGUAAAAUUGGGCUGCUAGGCAAACAUUAAUGAUUUGUGAAGAGAGUUGUGUUUUUUUCCUGCAGAGGACUUUCAUAUUGAGAUCAGUGAAGAAUUUGGUUGUGGUCUGUCCACCCCCCCUACAAAAGUCACUUGCCUAUGAAGAACUUGGUAGGGAAGAGAGGAGAGGAUAAUUCUCCUCCGCAUUUUUUCUGUCCUGAUUUGCAAGAUAGUGGUAACAAAACCUAUGAUUUAGUUUUCUUUCUUUUUGUGCAACUGUGUAGCAAAGUUAAAAUUUUUGUUUUUGUCUUCUUUUAUUAGCUCUGGUUUUAAGUACCUCUUAGGAUUUACAGAGCUCUGUCUUGUGUUCUUUCAAGGUUUUUAAAUGCUGAUAAGAUUCUUCCCUUUGGAGGUGCUUUUUCUUUUUAAUUUUGUUAAUUGAUUUGGAUAAAUAAGUUAUCCCAGUUGUUUGGAUACUGAAGGCAUAAGAUGCGUAUCUCAGGGAAGGAGAGUGAUUUAAUUCCCAGUUUUCACACAUGCUGAAUAUGGUGCCUUAGUGAUUCACAAGGACCCCUUCUAAUCUCCGUUCUGUUAGGGUGUUUAUCUUGCUUAUGAAUAAAUUUGAGUGAAAAAGCUUUUUAAGUUAAAGCUGCAUUGAUGGUUCAAAAAAUAAAUUAAAAAUAAAAAUGAGAUUAAGUCUUUGAUUUAGGAGGUUCAUAAGGUUCUUGUGGUAUUUUUUUAAAGAAAUAUUUAAAUGGAUUUCCCUUAACUCUUUAAAAGUUUCAGGACAGAAUCUCAUUUUAUAGGACACGUAGCAGAAAGAAGAGGAGUGUAGCACCUCCUCAUAAAUAUAUGGAAGCUAAAAGUCCUCUGGCAUCACUAAUGCUUUUAUACUUUGUGACUUGGACAGACUCAACACUUUCUACCCCAUUGUUUACUGUUUUUACUAGUUAGGUUAAGCAAAGCUAGUAAUUAGAAAACAGCAUCUUGCUUUUCAACAGUAAUUAUGGAAACUCUUGUUAUAAAUCUUUUAUAUUGAAUCCAGGUACAGUUCAUUCUCUGUAAGCCAUUGCUU